rnacentral:sRNA from 1 species
GCGCUUAAUGUCGCCCCUGCGGCAGCGGGAGAACCAUUUUGGGGGGUGCAUCCGUCCUGCGGACGGUAGGAGACCUUCUUCUCCGAACCCGGCAGCUAAUCUCGUCAGCAUAGGAA